UCACCUUAAAAGUGAGGGGGUUCUCGACUGGUUUUGGGGGUUCUCGGCUGUUCUUGGGUUCAAGCGAAGAACAGAGAGCACUGGAGAGCGAGCUUGAGAGAGAGGGGGCGAAGGACAGAGGGUUCAAGGGAAAAACGAAGCGAAGAACAGAGAGCGCCGGAGAGCGAUCUAGAUAGAGAGUGCAAGCUCGAGAGAGUGUUUGGUCGUCGCCGGAGGUCCGUUCGUCAGCUGCCAUUCGCCGCAGUCCUCCUCUCGAACCAGGGUUAUGCGUCUAUGGUCCAAUGACAUUUGGAGAGACGCUCCAGUUGCAUAUGAUAUGAUAGUCUUGUUACAUCUGCAAACAGCAACGGAUGGUCUAGGGUGGAGAGAACAGCAUGUAAAAUGCACGCUAUCAUGUUAUACGACUCGCAAAAAAUCAUGAUUUGUGGAUGGAUGAUUUGGGAGGUAUCACCUGAACAAUUUGGAUCGCAUUGGCAGCUCUGUAGAGCAGUCUAGUUUAUCCAAAUUUUGAAUUAAGUGAAUAUGUUGUGAGAAAGAUUUGUUCACUUAGGAGAGUCUAGAUAUCACUAUCAGCGUUGGAAGGAACCCUACAAUGUGAAGAGCAUUACUGGAUAAAAAUUUCACUUUCUUUUGCCAUGUCUGGCGUAGCACUGAGGCUUUUUUUGACUGUGGUAAGGAACAGAAGAUCCCCAUCUUUUAUUUGAAAUGAGAUUUAUUGUGUCAGUUUGGCCAAA